GGGCCCAUAGCUCAGUUGGUUAGAGCAGCGCACUCAUAAUGCGGAGGUCCCAGGUUCGAGUCCUGGUGGGCCCACCA
rnacentral:tRNA from 3 species